rnacentral:rRNA from 1 species
AUUGAACGCUGGCGGAAUGCUUUACACAUGCAAGUCUAACGGCAGCACGGACUUCGGUCUGGUGGCGAGUGGCGAACGGGUGAGUAAUAUAUCGGAACGUGCCCAGUCGUGGGGGAUCACGUAGCGAAAGCUACGCUAAUACCGCAUACGAUCUACGGUUGAAAGCGGGGGAUCGCAAGACCUCGCCCGAUUGGAGCGGCCGAUAUCAGAUUAGAUAGUUGGCGAGGUAAAGGCUCACCAAGCCGACGAUUUGUAGCUGGUCUGAGAGGACGACCAGCCACACUGAGACUGAGACACGGCCCAGACUCCUACGGGAGGCAGCAGUGGGGAAUUUUGGACAAUGGACGCAAGUCUGAUCCAGCCAUUCCGCGUGCAGGACGAAGGCCUUCGGGUUGUAAACUGCUUUUGUACAGAACGAAAAGCCCUGAGUUAAUACCUCGGGGUCAUGACGGUACUGUAAGAAUAAGCACCGGCUAACUACGUGCCAGCCGCCGCAGUAA